UACGGGGGGGGCAAGCGUUGUUCGGAAUUACUGGGCGUAAAGGGCUCGUAGAUGGCCAACUAAGUCAGACGUGAAAUCCCUCGGCUUAACCGGGGAACUGCGUCUGAUACUGGAUGGCUUGAGUUUGGGAGAGGGAUGCGGAAUUCCAGGUGUAGCGGUGAAAUGCGUAGAGAUGUGGAGGAACACCAGUGGCGAAGGCGACUUACUGGACGAUUGUUGACGCUGAGGUGCGAAAGCGUGGGGAGCAAACAGG
rnacentral:rRNA from 1 species